rnacentral:rRNA from 1 species
AUUGAACGCUGGCGGCAUGCCUUACACAUGCAAGUCGAACGGCAGCACGGGGGCAACCCUGGUGGCGAGUGGCGAACGGGUGAGUAAUAUAUCGGAACGUACCCUAGAGUGGGGGAUAACGUAGCGAAAGUUACGCUAAUACCGCAUACGAUCUACGGAUGAAAGUGGGGGCUCGCAAGACCUCAUGCUCAUGGAGCGGCCGAUAUCUGAUUAGCUAGUUGGUGAGGUAAAGCCUACCAAGGCGACGAUCCGUAGCUGGUUUGAGAGAACGACCAGCCACACUGGGACUGAGACACGG